UACGUAGGGGGCAAGCGUUGUCCGGAUUUACUGGGCGUAAAGAGCGUGUAGGCGGCCACGCAGGUCCGUUGUGAAAACUGGAGGCUCAACUUCCAGCCGUCGACGGAAACCGUGUGGCUAGAGUCCGGAAGAGGAGAGUGGAAUUCCUGGUGUAGCGGUGAAAUGCGCAGAUAUCAGGAAGAACACCCGUGGCGAAGGCGGCUCUCUGGGACGUGACUGACGCUGAGACGCGAAAGCGUGGGGAGCGAACAGG
rnacentral:rRNA from 1 species